rnacentral:rRNA from 1 species
GAUGAACGCUAGCGGCAGGCCUAACACAUGCAAGUCGAGGGGUAGAAGUUUUCGGACUUUGAGACCGGCGCACGGGUGCGUAACGCGUAUGCAAUCUGCCUUGUACUGAGGGAUAGCCCAGAGAAAUUUGGAUUAAUACCUCAUAGUAUUUUUUGUUGGCAUCAACAGAUUAUUAAAGUUUUUCGGUACAAGAUGAGCAUGCGUCCCAUUAGCUAGUUGGUAUGGUAACGGCAUACCAAGGCUACGAUGGGUAGGGGUCCUGAGAGGGAGAUCCCCCACACUGGUACUGAGACACGGACCAGACUCCUACGGGAGGCAGCAGUGAGGAAUAUUGGUCAAUGGUCGCAAGACUGAACCAGCCAUGCCGCGUGCAGGAUGAAGCAUCUAUGGUGUGUAAACUGCUUUUGUACGGGAAGAAACCCUCCUACGUGUAGGAGCUUGACGGUACCGUAAGAAUAAGGAUCGGCUAACUCCGUGCCAGCCGCCGCCGUAAAAC